rnacentral:rRNA from 1 species
GACGUGACUUCAGAGUUUGAUCCUGGCUCAGGAUGAACGCUGGCGGCGUGCUUAACACAUGCAAGUCGAGCGAAGCUCUCUUGUUGAUUUCUUCGGAUUGAAACAAGAGAUGACUGAGCGGCGGACGGGUGAGUAACGCGUGGAGAACCUGCCCCGUACCGGGGGAUAACAGUUAGAAAUGACUGCUAAUACCGCAUAAGCGCACACUAUCGCAUGAUAGAGUGUGAAAAACUCCGGUGGUACGGGAUGGCUCCGCGUUGGAUUAGCCAGUUGGCGGGGUAACGGCCCACCAAAGCGACGAUCCAUAGCCGGCCUGAGAGGGCGACCGGCCACAUUGGGACUGAGACACGGCCCAA